GUUGAAACCUCAAACCGAGUUGUUUGCAAAAUUUUGCCUUUUGCUUAUGUCUAAGUAGGGAGCAUUAUUGAAUAAAUUUGGUUUUGGAAUCUAAAGUUGGGAGAGUAAAGUGAAAAGUUGAUUAGAAACUUGGAAAAGUGAGUUUUUAUGAAAGGGUGAAAAUUUGAAAAGAAACAAGAAAAAGAAAAUACCUUUGAAGCCAUAGAGCAAAGAAAAAAGUAAAGAAAAAAAAAUCAAAGAAAAUGCUCAUGG
rnacentral:lncRNA from 1 species